CCUACGGGUGGCAGCAGUGGGGAAUAUUGGACAAUGGGCGAAAGCCUGAUCCAGCCAUGCCGCGUGUGUGAAGAAGGCCUUCGGGUUGUAAAGCACUUUCAGUGGGGAAGAAAGCCUUGGGGUUAAUACCCUCGAGGAAGGACAUCACCCACAGAAGAAGCACCGGCUAACUCCGUGCCAGCAGCCGCGGUAAUACGGAGGGUGCGAGCGUUAAUCGGAAUUACUGGGCGUAAAGCGCGCGUAGGCGGUCUGAUAAGCCGGUUGUGAAAGCCCCGGGCUCAACCUGGGAACGGCAUCCGGAACUGUCAGGCUAGAGUGCAGGAGAGGAAGGUAGAAUUCCCGGUGUAGCGGUGAAAUGCGUAGAGAUCGGGAGGAAUACCAGUGGCGAAGGCGGCCUUCUGGACUGACACUGACGCUGAGGUGCGAAAGCGUGGGUAGCAAACAGGAUUAGAUACCCUGGUAGUC
rnacentral:rRNA from 1 species